rnacentral:ncRNA from 1 species
UGGUAGCCAUCCCCACGGGGAGGCUUUCAAUGGGAAUGCGGUGCAAAUCCGCAGCAGCCCUCUCUACUGUAAGGAGGACGAGCGCUCAGAAGGUCACUGUCCGGCAAGCCGGAUGGGAAGACGAGCGUGAGGCAGAAUCCAAGCCAGGAGACCAGCCAGCCGC